UGCCAUUGAUGACUCUCUUUCUUUCUGACACCUCGUAUGAGCUGCUGAGCAGCAUUUGAUUACGACUGUACGUCUGAGGCGC